UUGGCUAGAUUAACACAAAUCUCCACACUAAAGGCCAAUUUAUCUCAGCUUCUACUGCUCUCUACAACAAGCCCGCCUUUCAACAACAACAAUGACAACAAUGAUGAAGACAUACCAAAAGAUAAGCAAUAAAUACAGUCUAAAAAGAAAUCAAUCUUUAGAACAACACUCAGAUAUGACAGAGAUUUUAGAACUACCAGAGAGGGAAUUUUAAUUUUUAAAUAACUUAUAACAACAUUAAAGGCUCUAAUGAGCAAGGUAGUCAUCAUUCAAGACCAGAUAUGUAAUUUUAAGAGAGAUAUGGAAACUAUAAUAAACAGUCAAAUGAAAAUGCUAGAAAAUUAAAAAAAAAAACACAUGGUAACAGAAAUGAAGAGAGCCUUCAAAGAAUCAGGAGAGGUCAUGGGAGGACACAGUGAGAAGGUGGCCAUCUAUAAGGCAGGACUAGAGCCUUCACCAGAAACCAACCAUGCUGGCACCCUGAUCUCAGAUGGCCAAUCUACAGAACUGGUAACCUAAGCAGAUUAAGACAUUUACAAUAAAGGAGCAAAGACAAGAAUGACAGCAAACUUGUCAGAAACCAG